AAGACCGUACUUAUACAGGAUCAUUUCUAUAGUACAACUUAUUCUACUUGACUUUCCGCAUUGACUCGGGAUGUCGGUGGUUGCAGUGCUGGGUCCUUGUUUGGACCUGGUCUCCCUCAUUGAUGAACGUCCGCUGUCGCUAUUCCAAGGCAGCGUAAGUGAGUGGAGUGAUAUGA
rnacentral:snoRNA from 1 species